AACAAGGCGUACCUGCGGACCUGCGGAGGGAUCAUUACACAAUACAAUAUGAAGGCUGUCCGCAGCUGGGGUAUUUUAUUACCCUUGUCUUUUGCGCACUUGUUGUUUCCUGGGCGGGUUCGCUCGCCACCAGGACCACCAAAUAAACCUUUUUUAUGCAGUUGCAAUCAGCGUCAGUACAAACAAUGUAAAUCAUUUACAACUUUCAACAACGGAUCU
rnacentral:misc_RNA from 1 species